GCCGGAUUAGCUGAGAGGUGGUGCAUUGGCCGUCGUCAGUUCGUACUGUGAAGCAUCCUGUUAAGUCAGGCAACGAGCGAGACCCACGCCCACAGUUGCCAGCGUACUCUCCGGAGUGACGGGUACACUGUGGGACCGCCGCUGCUAAAGCGGAGGAAGGAAUGGGCAACGGUAGGUCAGUAUGCCCCGAAUAUCCCGGGCUACACGCGAGCUACAAUGGUUGGUACAAUGGGUAUCUACCCCGAAAGGGGACGGGAAUCUCCUAAAACCAAUCUUAGUUCGGAUUGAGGGCUGCAACUCGCCCUCAUGAAGCUGGAAUCCGUAGUAAUCGCGUUUCAACAGAACGCGGUGAAUACGUCCCUGCUCCUU
rnacentral:rRNA from 1 species